UCCCUGGUGAUCUAGUGGUUAGGAUUCAGUUCUUUCACCACUAAAGCCUGGGUUCAAACCCUGGUCUUGGAA
rnacentral:tRNA from 1 species